UGGCCGUAAACGAUGUGGACUUGGUGUUGGAAUGGCUCCGAGCUGCUCCAGUGCCGAAGGGAAGCUGUUAAGUCCACCGCCUGGGAAGUACGGUCGCAAGACUGAAACUUAAGGGAAUUGGCGGGGGAGCACCACAACGGGUGGAGCCUGCGGUUUAAUUGGACUCAACGCCGGGAAGCUCACCGGAUAAGACAGCGGAAUGAUUGCCGGGCUGAAGACCCUGCAUGACCAGCUGAGAGGUGGUGCAUGGCGUAGUCGUGU
rnacentral:rRNA from 1 species